AGCUCAGUUGGUUAGAGCGCGGGACUCAUAAGCCCGAGGUCAGUGGUUAACACCCAACAAUCCUUUA
rnacentral:tRNA from 1 species